UGUGGUCCAGCUCAGUUGUUAGAGCAUGGCGCUUGCAAUGCCAGGAUAGUGGGUUCAAUUCCCGGGAUCACCC
rnacentral:tRNA from 1 species